GCUGCGCGCAGCUUGACGGUGAUAGCGAGCGGUGGGAGCUGCGGUUCAUUGCUCGGUGACCCGCAAGCUGUUCCGCAGACAGAGAGGUUCCCCAGAGUGUCGGCGGAGAUUGAAUAUUCACGCGUCAGGCCCGCUCCCUCGGCAGCAGUGAUUGAUAUGUUUUAUAUUAAUCAGAGGGAUGCAGUUCUAUUAAUGUGCAAAUUAUAUGCGACUACUCCACGAGGAUCAGAAAGAUGAUUGCUCUGUGGGUUCACUGACGAUGUUAAAGAGAGAAUAUUGCUGACAACUAACGAUUGCCUGCAGCACAAGGGUGGCUGGGGUCCUGUUGGGUCUUUGUACAGUGAUUCUGCAUGGCGGCAUGUUCCCAUUGCUGGAGUUCACCGGUUGGCGGCAUUUUCCAUACAUUCAGGUUCAGCCUGAAGUCAAGUGCCUUUGGGGUGCAGCUUUCUGUGGCCCUGUAGGCACGAAUUCUCGCCGGUGUCACGAACCGAAGCAUAGUGGGAGCUGGAACAUCAAAGACCACAAGAGUGGCUGUCGGAGGCCUCUGUACUUGGUGAUCAAUCGUUCUUCUCUCUCGAUGGUCCAUGAUCAAUUAAUCUGCUGAGCCUUACAUCUUUGGGAUGCGAGAGGAAACAAGAGCACACAAGAGCACCUGGAGAACAACCAAGUGGCGCCGGGUGGAACAUACAAACUACUUACAGACCGCGGUUAGAAUUGAACCCAGGGCGCUGUAAUAGCAUGACACUCACUGCUACGCUACUACGUAGAGAGAGCAUUCACAGGAGGGAGAGACGGAGAGCAAACACAUCAGGUCGGAGAGCAACGGAACGAAGUGAGAGUGAUAGGGAGAGUGUUGAUCGAGAGCUGCCAACCACAGUGAAGGGGAAAUAACCAGGGGAAAGAACUGUGAUUCUUUUUAAAAUUUAAAAUUAUUUAUUAAAAGCUGUAAUGUAAUUUUGACCUUGUAAUUGCAGAAUGAUUUAAAAUCUGGUUAA